rnacentral:rRNA from 1 species
UGCCUGCCCAGUGAUUGAAAAAUUUAACGGCUGCGGUACUCUGACCGUGCAAAGGUAGCAUAAUCAUUAGCCUAUUAAUUUUAGGCUGGAAUCAAUGGCAAGACGAAGGAAAAGCUGUCUCUUUCUAUUAUUUUUAAACUUUUUUUUCUGGUGAAGAAACCAGAAUACAAAAGUGGGACGAGAAGACCCUAUUGAGUUUUAGUUAAAAAAAAGAAAAAAAAAUUUUUUUUUCAACUUUGGUUGGGGCAACUAUUUAUUAAAUUAAAUAUAAGUAAAUAAAAAUUGAAUUGAAUCUUUAAUAAUAUAAUAUCCAGAAUUUUUUUCUGAAAUUAAAAAUAAUUACCAUAGGGAUAACAGCGUAAUUCUUUUUGAGAGUACAUAUUGACAAAUGAGUUUGCGACCUCGAUGUUGGAUCAAGUUUUCCUGGAGGUGUAGCAGUUUUCAAGGGUUGGUUUGUUCAACCAUAAAAAUCUU